rnacentral:rRNA from 1 species
UACAGAGGGUGCGAGCGUUGUUCGGAAUUACUGGGCGUAAAGCGCGCGUAGGCGGCCCGGUAAGUCCGUUGUGAAAGUCAAAGGCUCAACCUUUGAACGCCGAUGGAUACUGCCGGGCUAGAGUCCGGAAGAGGCGAGUGGAAUUCCUGGUGUAGCGGUGGAAUGCGCAGAUAUCAGGAGGAACACCAAUAGCGAAGGCAGCUCGCUGGGACGGUACUGACGCGUGAGGCGACGAAAGGCGUAGGGGAGCGAACAGG